CAAGCUGCAGUCAGCUGUCGUUGAUCUAUCUCUGGCGGUAGCAUAUUUGAGUUUUUAAUUUUUAUUUAAUAUUAGAUAUUCGUAUUUAUUUUUUAUUAUUUUAAGAAAGAGAUUAACUAAAACUAAUGUGAAUAGUACCAUAUUACACAAAUCGAUCCCUUCUCAAGUUUAUUUAAUAGGGCACUACUCAUGUUAUGGGGUAAACAUGAGAUUGCAUUGCAUUAGCUAUAUAGUGUGAUGGCAUGUAAUGUGGUGUGUUCCAAACACACUCUAAGGUGAUGUUUGGUUGGGAGGAGAGAGUGGUGGAGAGGAAAGUGAUUCAAAUUCCAUUUUUAUUUUCAUUGUUUGGUUACAAAAAAUAUAUAAGAAUUUAAUUUUCAUUAAAAUUUAAUAUACAUUAUA
rnacentral:lncRNA from 1 species